rnacentral:rRNA from 1 species
AGCUCCAAUAGCGUAUAUUAAAGUUGUUGCGGUUAAAAGCUCGUAGUUGGAUUUCUGCUGAGGACGACCGGUCCGCCCUCUGGGUGAGUAUCUGGCUCGGCCUUGGCAUCUUCUUGGUGAACGUAUCUGCACUUGACUGUGUGGUGCGGUGGCCAGGACUUUUACUUUGAGGAAAUUAGAGUGUUUCAAGCAGGCAUACGCCUUGAAUACAUUAGCAUGGAAUAAUAAGAUAGGACCUCGGUUCUAUUUUGUUGGUUUCUAGGGCUGAGGUAAUGAUUAAUAGGGAUAGUUGGGGGCAUUCGUAUUAACGCGUCAGAGGUGGAAUUCUUGGAUUGCGUUACGACGAACUACUGCGAAAGCAUUUGCCAAGGAUG